rnacentral:rRNA from 1 species
GACGAACGCUGGCGGCGUGCUUAACACAUGCAAGUCGAACGGAAAGGCCCUGCUUUUGUGGGGUGCUCGAGUGGCGAACGGGUGAGUAACACGUGAGUAACCUGCCCUUGACUUUGGGAUAACUUCAGGAAACCGGGGCUAAUACCGGAUAGGAGCUCCUGCUGCAUGGUGGGGGUUGGAAAGUUUCGGCGGUUGGGGAUGGACUCGCGGCUUAUCAGCUUGUUGGUGGGGUAGUGGCUUACCAAGGCUUUGACGGGUAGCCGGCCUGAGAGGGUGACCGGCCACAUUGGGACUGAGAUACGGCCCAGACUCCUACGGGAGGCAGCAGUGGGGAAUAUUGCACAAUGGGCGGAAGCCUGAUGCAGCAACGCCGCGUGCGGGAUGACGGCCUUCGGGUUGUAAACCGCUUUCGCCUGUGACGAAGCGUGAGUGACGGUAAUGGAUAAAGAAGCACCGGCUAACUACGUG